rnacentral:lncRNA from 1 species
AUGCCAAAGAAUGCUCAAACUACUACACAAUUGGACUCAUCUCAUAUGCUAGUAAUGCUCAAAAUUCUCCAAGCCAGGCUUCAGCAAUACGUGAACCAUGAACUCCCUGAUGUUCAAGCUGGUUUUAGAAAAGGCAGAGGAACCAGAGAUCAAAUUGCCAACAUCCGCUGGAUCAUCGAAAAAGCAAGAGAGUUUCAGAAAAACAUCUAUUUCUGCUUUAUUGACUAUGCCAAAGCCUUUGACUGUGUGGACCACAACAAACUGUGGAAAAUUCUUCCAGAGAUGGGAAUACCAGACCACCUGACCUGCCUCUUGAGAAACCUGUAUGCAGGUCAGGAAGCAACAGUUAGAACUGGAGAUGGAACAACAGACUGGUUCCAAAUAGGAAAAGGAGUACGUCAAGGCUGUAUAUUGUCACCCUGCUUAUUAAACUUCUAUGCAGAGUACAUCAUGGGAAAUGCUGGACUGGAAGAAGCACAAGCUGGAAUCAAGAUUGUCCGGAGAAAUACCAAUAACCUCAGAUAUGCAGAUGACACCACCCUUAUGGCAGAAAGUGAAGAGGAGCUAAAAAGCCUCUUGAUAAAAGUGAAAGUGGAGAGUGAAAAAGUUGGCUUAAAGCUCAACAUUCAGAAAAUGAAGAUCAUGGCUUCUGGUCCCAUCACUUCAUGGGAAACAGAUAGGGAAACAGAGGAAACAGUGUCAGAGUUUAUUUUGGGGGGCUCCAAAAUCACUGCAGAUGGUGACUGCAGCCAUGAAAUUAAAAGAUGCUUACUCCUUGGAAGAAAAGUUAUGACCAACCUAGAUAGCAUAUUCAAAAGCAGAGACAUUACUUUGCCGACUAAGGUCCGUCUAGUCAAGGCUAUGGUUUUUCCUGUGGUCAUGUAUGGAUGUGAGAGUUGGACUGUGAAGAAGGCUGAAUGCCGAAGAACUGAUGCUUUUGAACUGUGGUGUUGGAGAAGACUCUUGAGAGUCCCUUGGAUUGCAAGGAGAUCCAACCAGUCCAUUCUGAAAGAGAUCAGCCCUGGGAUUUCUUUGGAAGGAAUGAUGCUACAGCUGAAACUCCAAUACUUUGGCCACCUCAUGCAAAGAGUUGACUCAUUGGAAAAGACUCUGAUGCUGGGAGGGAUUGGGGGCAGGAGAAGAAGAGGACGACAGAGGAUGAGAUGGCUGGAUGGCAUCACGGACUCGAUGGACGUGAGUCUGAGUGAACUCCGGGAGUUGGUGAUGGACAGAGAGGCCUGGCGUGCUGCAAUUCAUGAGGUCACAAAGAGUCGGACAUGA